UUGGCAAGUUGCCAUAUCCAGUUUGUAGUCGCAUCUACCGGAGGUGUAACUACUCGCUUUGACUGGGAAUUUGGUCUGACUGAUGGGAGACUAAGCUCUAUAGCAAUGGGCUUGAGUGUACCAAGAGGGGUCAAGAAGAAUAUGGUACGAGUUGCAUAUGCUUUUCUACCAUCAAGGGCGUUAAUGCGGUCCAAAAAUGGGAGAUAAACAUCAUGAUAAUCCAAUACAAAGAGUUUGUUUUCCUCGAGGGCCUCUUGAACAGACAUGCCAUUCAGAUGGCCAAUAAUGUGCUUUUCUUUAAGAGCAGAUUCCUGUGGACCGUAGAUUUCAGGAUCAAG
rnacentral:misc_RNA from 1 species